rnacentral:rRNA from 1 species
UGGCGGACGGGUGAGUAAUGUCUGGGAAACUGCCUGAUGGAGGGGGAUAACUACUGGAAACGGUAGCUAAUACCGCAUAACGUCGCAAGACCAAAGAGGGGGACCUUCGGGCCUCUUGCCAUCGGAUGUGCCCAGAUGGGAUUAGCUAGUAGGUGGGGUAACGGCUCACUUAGGCGACGAUCCAUAGCUGGUCUGAGAGGAUGACCAGCCACACUGGAACUGAGACACGGUCCAGACUCCUACGGGAGGCAGCAGUGGGGAAUAUUGCACAAUGGGCGCAAGCCUGAUGCAGCCAUGCCGCGUGUAUGAAGAAGGCCUUCGGGUUGUAAAGUACUUUCAGCGGGGAGGAAGGGAGUAAAGUUAAUACCUUUGCUCAUUGACGUUACCCGCAGAAGAAGCACCGGCUAACUCCGUGCCAGCAGCCGCGGUAAUACGGAGGGUGCAAGCGUUAAUCGGAAUUACUGGGCGUAAAGCGCACGCAGGCGGUUUGUUAAGUCAGAUGUGAAAUCCCCGGGCUCAACCUGGGAACUGCAUCUGAUACUGGCAAGCUUGAGUCUCGUAGAGGGGGGUAGAAUUCCAGGUGUAGCGGUGAAAUGCGUAGAGAUCUGGAGGAAUACCGGUGGCGAAGGCG